AAAUGUCCUUCUUGAAGCUGCUGAUUUUGUGGUAAUGUUGUCACAGCUAUAGAAAACGAACACAUUUCUCCUCGGGGACCCACCUGAGUUCCCCAUUGCCGCUCCAGUCCACGUCCCCAACUCUCCUCCCAGCCCACUGCCUGCCUCGCUUCUGAUCUCGCCAUCUUGUCCUGGAACUGGGCAGUGGCCUCCUGUGGACGUCCCUGCCAUGGUGCCCGUCACCUGUCAGUGCCAGCUGCACCCUGAUACCCAGAAAUCUGUGUAAACCUGGUGAUGUCCCUACCCCACACGGCCGCCGAGGAAGGCCAGGGUCCCUGCUUCAGCUGGCAAGGGUCUCAUCAUCCAGUCCCCACAUCCCUCCCCAGACAGCUCUGCCCCUCCUGCCACAUACCCGGGCUCCAGCCACUCUGAACAACUGGGCAGCCAUCCUCGGAGAUUCUGGGCUGGUCCCCCCUCUGUGAUGGUGCGUCUCUUGUCCUCCCAGCCUGGAAUGCCUCUCCACCUCUUCUCAGCCUGAAAAACACAUUCAUUCUUCAAAAUCCCAGGUCCUAGGUCACCUCUCUUUGGAGCCUUCUGAGGACUCCUGACAGGGAGUUGGGGCUUCGGUGGCCCACUACUCUCCUGUCUGGCUACCUGGUGUUUCCAGCCGUGUCCUCCAGUGGCCCCCAGUGAGCAGAGCUCUGGAUCGGCUUUGCCACGGGUCUUCUUCUCCUGGCCCUCGGCCUUAGCGCCUGGAGUCCCUGGUGUUGAGCAGACCUCUUCCGCGUGAAUAGGUGACUGUCCUCUCAGUUAAGGGCUGAGCACUGCCACACAGGAGCCAGAAGCCCAAUGGGACAGUGGCCACGGGCUUCCACAGGCCUCUUGGUUUCCGGGGAGCUGGUGUGCAGGUCGGGCUGAGUGGCAGCACCUGGAGAGGCGACUUCCAGACUUUGGGGCUUGCUGUGAUCUGCUCUGCAGAUCUGGAGGUGACAGUUCUCCUGCUCUCCCGAGGAGGGUGCCUAUGAGAUUGUCACCUCUGCUGCCACCUGGAAGUCCCCCUCCAUCCCCUGCUGGUGGACCCAACUCUUGGAGAAACACCAAUUAAAGUUCAAAUGAUUCGGAAGACAGGAAGGACUUGCGUGCCUCCCGCGCCCCCGCCUGGCCGGGCUCUGAGGCUUCCUCCUUUAUUGGCUUUCUGUUUCCCCAGCCAGAGUGCAAGCCCAGAGGGGGGGCCUGGGCUGUGAGCCUCUCUGCAGUCUGAGCUGGGACGCCCCUGGGCACUGGGGUGGCUCUGGAAUAACUCCGAGGCCCGCCCUGCCCACCUUCCUUCCUGCCCUGCCUUCUCACAUUUGCCCCUGGCUUAAAGCUUCCACUGUCUCCUGUCCCCUUAGGAUAAAGGAACAUGAUCUUUACUUCUAGAAAAUUUCCAUUUUAUCAGUUUAUCCCAGAUUAAGGAAUUAUAAAAAUCCUCCCAUGUGGAUUAUCCUUAAACCUAACCCAAAUGUAACCCUGGCUCUGACUCUGCAGUCUGAGACUGGGAAUCGCUCUUCCCAGAGCCCUUUCAUUUUAGAAGACGUUUCCGGCGUGUCUUCCUAUGUGGUACGAAGAAGGAUUCCUGCUUGACCGUUGCUGGGACGCUCCUCUGGUUUAUCAGGACGUCAGGGGUAUAGGAUGGGAGUGUGAAGGUCAAAAGAACCUUGGAGCUGGGUGAGCUACAGCCAGGGGCGUCACCCUCUGGGGACCUUGGAGGUGGAGAUGGUGCUGGGUGUGACCUCGCUGUGCAUGAUGAUCUUUUGCACCUGGCUCCUGUGUGUUGCUGGAGGUGGGGAGGGGUGGGCUCCUCAGAAUGGCUUCUACCAUUUCAUUUUCUUUGCAGAGGGAAGAGAGGCUCCUCCCAUCAGUGUCUACUGGGCUGUGAGGCUGUCCCCUGGGGGCCAGCUGGUGGAGUGAGAAACACUCACCAGCAAGGACAGCUGGUGGCUUCCCAGCCCCACUGACCUGCAGCUCUUCACCGGACUGCUCACCUUCCUGUGAAGGGUCUUGGGGUGGAAUCAAGACAAGCAGGUGUGGGGCUCUGAGCCAGGUCGUGGCUGUGUGCCCUGCAAGGUCCCGAGGGUCCAUGUUUCGUGUCAUUGCUUCCUAUCACCGUGCCAGUGAGAUGGGAUGGGAGUGCCUUCCCCGCUCUUGUAGGGAGGCCACGUGAACGCGCCCCUCCCCGGCCCAGCACUACUCGCAUCAUAUGUGUUUCCUAGGACAUUAAAAUGACCCCUCUGGGUCUCCAAGGACACCCUCAUUUGGAGUUUUGCCCUGCCUGCUCCUUCUAGCACCACAUGAAGCUUUUGUCUGGUGGCUCAAAAGCAAAUGCUGCUCCUUGUCCACUUGGGGAAGGAGCCUGGAGAGCGCGCGGGCUCAGGGCGUGCGUGUCCUUUCAGGGCUAGGCGUGAGUGGCGGAGGUGUUUUACGUCCCUGUCCAAAGUAUUCUUGGGGCACUGGGGCCCGUGCUGUGGGGCAGGAGACCUGUGCCACUGAAAUGCCCUCAUGUCACACAGACACGGAGCCCCUCUCUCAGGCAGCCCUGGGCAGCGGGGCCAGGAUGGCAAGUGCCGUGCCCGGGAGCAUGGGAAGUGGUGAGGUUCACACGACACUUCAAAUGGACAGUCAUGUCCUACCUGGGGAGGCACAGGAUGCGUCCCAGGAGGGGCAACUGUUGGGAAAGGGGACUCAGUCAGGAAAGGGCAACUGCUCUUGUCUUGUCUUAGCAGUGUCACCUCCACUCUGUCUGCCCCUCCUGUCCCUUGGUCCAGGUACCAAAGCACCAGAGCACGGUGGCCUCCCAGAGCGGCCCCUUGUCUGUGGCUCUGCAGCGGGCAGCCCCGGGAAGCACCUGGCUCCACUGAGAAGCUCGCGGUGCAGCCGCAGGUCCUGUUCUCAAGUCCGCCUCCUUCUCUGCCCUACCAAGCAGGCAUUUGAUUUGGUCUUCGAGGACCUCCCAGAUGCCCACAAAGGGGACAUACUACAGUCCUGCAGACGGGAGCCCCUCUCAUCGUGAUCACUAGGUGCCCAGGGUCUCCAGGGGCCAUGCAGACAGACAACUGCCACCUGCGGAUCUCCUAGAUGUCUGCCCUGUCCUCCAGUUAGCCAAUGGCCCAUGGAAAGUCUGGGCUCCCAUCUUUGCUUUUAUGGAGACAGUUAGCUUCAUCUUCCUUUCCCUUUGGCCUGUGGAGGUCCUCUGCUCUCAGUGAGGGUUUUGCUAAUUUGCUGAUGCUGGCCUGGAACUUGCAAUCCUCCUGCCUCAGCCUCCGGAGUAGCUGGGGCUACAGGGCUGGCUGCUGGGCCUGGCUUCCCUCGGACCUUCCCUCUUCCUUCUUCCCCCCCCCCCCCCAGCUCCAGGUCCCAGCCCCACCCCGGGCUCCCGCACAGGUUGUCUCCCAGAGCUCUCGGCCGGGUGAGGUCCCACCUGCAGCAUGGCUGCCUCUCUCCCAGGUGAGCGCUUCUUCUCUCCAUGCGGGUGCAUCUUCCGUGUCUUAGCUGAGAGGCCCCCCCGCACACACUCCCCGCUGCCACUGGGCUGCGUUCUGCAUUAGCCCCCUCCCAGAUUGCAAGCCGGGUGACCACGUGUGGCCCCUGGGACUGGCUUCGACGGUGGUGACAGAAGGUGACCUCUGCUGUCCCUGCUGCUCCAGCUGCGGUACAGAGUGUUCAAGGGAAGAGGCUGCACCCUGGGGCCGCAGGAGCUGUCAGAAGGUGAAGGACCCCGGGCUGAGAGGGACACCUCUGAGGACAGACUCGGGGGCCUUAGGCAGGUAGAGAGGGGCUUCUAGGAGAUUAGGAUUUGCCUCUCAGAAGGCUGAGGGUAAUCAGCUUAGUCCACCAGGAGUCGAUUCUCCAAGAAACACAAGUAAUCCAAUAACUUAAGGGACAGUGGUGCUCACUGUUGGUUUGGGGGUCGUCUCAGGAACCGAUUCAUCAGUGUCCUAGUGGUUACGAUGGGGAAGAACUCGGGAGAAAGGCUGUGGUUCUGGAGAGCUUGGGCAAGGUUCUCCAGGCUUCGGAUUGCCGUCCAGUGGGGGUGUCUGGGGAAGGUCCUCGUCUCUGCCGUCCAAGCUGUCCAAGGUCACGGCCACAUGAGAUGUGUGGCCGGGGCAGCUGAAGAACACAAGACGACAUUGCACUGAUUGAAACCCAGUCUGAAUGUCCAUGUGUGGCACUGCCACUGUGGUGGUGAGCAGUGCUGUCUGGGGCAGGUGUGUGCAGGUGGCCGCUGUGGUUUGGGACUGUCCCCAGAGGUUCAGGUGUGGGAAACUUGCUCCCCACUGUGGGAGAUGUUCAGAAGGGGUGACUCUUUAAGAGGAAUCGCCUGGUGGGAGGUGAUUAAGUCAUGGGCUGCACCCUUGUGGAGGGAUUAAUGCAGGGCUUCUGGUGUUGAAUUGGUUCCUGCAAGAACGUGUUAAAAUGAGUUUGAUUAUCUUAGCUUGUUCUGUCUUGCUUCCUGUCAUGUGAUUCCCGUGUGUGUGUGUGUGUGUGUGUGUGUGUGUUUUGUGUGUGUGCUCGUAACACAAUGCCAUCUGCCAUUUGUGGUGUAGUCUGAAGUCCUUCACCUGAGCUGAGCAGAGGCUGGUGUCAUGUUCUUGGACUUUGAGAACUGUGAACUGAAUAAACUUCUUUUCUGUACAAAGUA